rnacentral:rRNA from 1 species
UAAAAAAGCGUAACAAGGUCUCCGUAGGUGAACCUGCGGAGGGAUCAUUACACAAUAACAAGGCGGGCUGGACACCCCCCGCUGGGCACUGCUUCACGGCGUGCGCGGCGGGGCCGGCCCUGCUGAAUUAUUCACCCGUGUCUUUUGCGUACUUCUUGUUUCCUGGGUGGGCUCGCCCGCCCUCAGGACCAACCACAAACCUUUUGCAAUAGCAAUCAGCGUCAGUAACAACGUAAUUAAUUACAACUUUCAACAACGGAUCUCUUGGUUCUGGCAUCGAUGAAGAACGCAGCGAAAUGCGAUACGUAGUGUGAAUUGCAGAAUUCAGUGAAUCAUCGAAUCUUUGAACGCACAUUGCGCCCUUUGGUAUUCCAAAGGGCAUGCCUGUUCGAGCGUCAUUUGUACCCUCAAGCUUUGCUUGGUGUUGGGCGUCUUUUGUCUCCAGUUCGCUGGAGACUCGCCUUAAAGUCAUUGGCAGCCGGCCUACUGGUUUCGGAGCGCAGCACAAGUCGCGCUCUUUGCCAGCCAAGGUCAGCGUCCAGCAAGCCUUUUUUUCAACCUUGACCUCGGAUCACGAGGAUUCC